GAUGAACGCUGGCGGCGUGCCUAAUACAUGCAAGUCGAGCGAACAGACGAGGAGCUUGCUCCUCUGACGUUAGCGGUGGACGGGUGAGUAACACGUGGAUAACCUACCUAUAAGACUGGGAUAACUUCGGGAAACCGGAGCUAAUACCGGAUAACAUGUUGAACCGCAUGGUUCAACAGUGAAAGACGGUCUUGCUGUCACUUAUAGAUGGAUCCGCGCCGCAUUAGCUAGUUGGUAAGGUAACGGCUUACCAAGGCAACGAUGCGUAGCCGACCUGAUAGGGUGAUCGGCCACACUGGAAAUGAGACACGGUCCUGACUCCUACGGGAGGCAGCAGUAGGGAAUCUUCCGCAAUGGGCGAAAGCCUGACGGAGCAACGCCGCGUGAGUGAAGAAGGUCUUCGGAUCGUAAAACUCUGUUAUUAGGGAAGAACAAAUGUGUAAGUAACUAUGCACGUCUUGACGGUACCUAAUCAGAAAGCCACGGCUAACUACGUGCCAGCCGCCGCAGUAA
rnacentral:rRNA from 1 species